rnacentral:rRNA from 1 species
UGGGGGAUAUUGCACAAUGGGCGAAAGCCUGAUGCAGCGACGCCGCGUGGGGGAUGAAGGCUUUCGGGUUGUAAACCUCUUUCGCUAUCGAACAAGGCCCGCUUAGGGUGGGUUGAGGGUAGGUGGAGAAGAAGCGCCGGCUAACUACGUGCCAGCAGCCGCGGUAAUCCGUAGGGCGCGAGCGUUGUCCGGAAUUAUUGGGCGUAAAGGGCUUGUAGGCGGCUUGUUGCGCCUGCUGUGAAAACGCGGGGCUUAACUUCGCGCGUGCAGUGGGUACGGGCAGGCUUGAGUGUGGUAGGGGUGACUGGAAUUCCAGGUGUAGCGGUGGAAUGCGCAGAUAUCUGGAGGAACACCGAUGGCGAAGGCAGGUCACUGGGCCAUUACUGACGCUGAGGAGCGAAAGCAUGGGUAGCUAACAGG